CGUCUGUGGCCCAAAAGGUUGCGAAUUAGGAGUUGCACAGCUGCGGGAAUGUCCUCUGAGCAAGCCUCGAAAGAGAGCUGUCGAGAGGCGCUUCGCCUGUUGUCAGCAAGGGCCGCUCGGCCUGACUCGUCCAAACCGUCAAACGUGGAGACUUCCAGAUCGAAUGGCAGUCGUCCGCACCAUAACUCAUAGAUCAUAAGUCCAAGAGGAUAGCUGUCUCGCGAAUACGUGUAUGGAGUACUGGGGUGCUCAACAGCUUCCGGUGCAGCGUAUCUGCUCACUCGGGUUGUCCUGAAACUCUCCCCGUGGCGGCGUGCUCGGCCAAGACCAGAGAGGUAGAAAAGACCAUGGCUGAAAAGAAGAAUGUGUUUGGGCUGCAAAUUCCCGUGAAUCACUCUUCGUGAAUGCAAGGCUGCAACAAGCUGGACCAUCUGGACAGUCGCGGCGAGCCGGACGAGAUUGGUUGUUCGGGGACCGAGUGUUUCACUGGUGCGAAGAAAAGCGAUGAUAUCCUUCAGUGAGGACGAGGCCUUUGGCAUCAGGAGAACCUGCGCCCGUGCGCUCGGAUCAUCUGUUUCACCCCCUGGUCGGUAAACCAGUUUGUCGAUGGGGGCAACCAGCCGAAGUCGCAUCAUUGCUUCCGCAGCAUCUUUCAUUGACACGGCGGACAGGAUAUUGGCCUCUGUUUUGGCAACUGUCCUCGCCUCUGCAGACUGUCCGAGAUAAAACUUAAGAGCGACGUCCGAAUCCGUGCCACUGACCUGUCCCCUGAACACGGCUGUAUACUCUCCUGUCCCGAGCGGUUCCUUGACGUUCACGACGACCUCUUCAGCAGUUGUGGUAGACACGAACUUGAGAGUUGCCCCUGCUUGCACUAGCGCGUCACGUGCAGUCUCCAAUGCAUCGGCGUCAGGGGUCUCAACUGGUACAGUCGUGGCAAGCGAGGCGAGUGCUGAUUGUCCGACAGCCUCCUCGUCGCGGAAUUCAAAAUGCGCCCGCGGAAGAACUCGCCCUCUCACUCGAUCAGCCGCAGUUGCAAACCCCCUUCGGAGCCGCCUCCAACCGCGGCCAACGUACCGGCGAGCUCGGCCAAAGAGACCCCGGACGCGGUUGACGAAACGUCUCCCUCGUGAUCCUACUGGGCGCGUGACUGUAGUCGCCCAAUUUCUCAUCCUGGUACCAAAUCCGCGUCUCCUCGGCUCCUCACUUCGCAACCCCUCCGGCUGACCCAUCACCUGUUCUUCAGAUGGAGAGGUCGUUCCUCCAACGACGCCAGGUCCGCCGACAGCCUGUUCAGGUUCUGAGACGGCGCUUCGCGCUCCUCUGCGGAAAGGCGACCACCAACGAGACGGAUUCAGCCAGCCCAGCAUACGGCGACCGGGAGCCUGCUGGACCGCUGGCUGCGGCAGCUGAUCCUGUGCGACGGGUGCCUCCACGGGGACGGCUUCGUCGUUACCGUCUCCAGUGGACAGAGGAACUUCAGCGUAAGGAGCCGGAGCACCAGUUCCUGGCGCAUCCUCUGGCAUGUCAGGGGCCAGCGGGACCUGGACGGGGGCACCCAACGUGGCCUGGGGCCCGAAACCCAGGCUGACACUACCUGCCGCCGCGAGAAGCAAGGCAACGUGCGUCCUCAUUUUGGUAGAGAAAAAACUCCCUUUGUCUCUAGUAGAAAAACUGAUACUGGUACAGAAUACCAGUGACGAGCUAAAUAACUGCGUACUCAACACUGUCCAACACGCUGAGGAGCAGUUGAGUAGUUUGCCGGACUGUUUCCUUGAGAGGUUCUGGUGCGAAGCAUUAGCCGGAAAUUCCUGACGCGAUAAAAGGGUCCGCGUGUCUUUCCA
rnacentral:lncRNA from 1 species